AUGUUUCACUCAGCAGGCACAGCACCAGGGCACAUUUUUAAUGAUUUACCAGUUCUACUUGACUGAGCCUGCACCCUGUAAGUAGAUCAUAUGAUCAGCGAUCACAAGUUAAACUGCUUUUGUUGUUCGCAAGGCAUGCAUGGUGGACGGGCUGCAAGGCACCAGGCCCUCGCACGCAGCUGUGUGUAAGACAAGGCAAGGUUGCGUACGACAGGCAGUUAAUGGCUCAUACCAGCAAGCCUUCGACUUCGGCUGGCACAUGAACCUGAAUUUUAAGAAGGAAGAACAAGGUUUACCUUCUUCCAGUUCCUCCACACGAACUUGGUCAUCAUGGCACAGCACCAGAAGAGCCAGGCCUACAGCUGUUCAAUGCACUGGCUAAAACAAAGUCAUUUUCUCCCAAAACACCCUGCCUCAUGACAAGCAGAUGCGCAAAGCAGCAACUACGGGGGUAUGGAUGGAGAAAGGAGAGACACAGCUCAGGUCUACCUCAUUGUACAAACAGAUCCUGACCCACUCCUGGCACCCACACCUCUCAUCUUGCGAACAAGUUAUCGUUUCCCCUGCCUUUCCUUUUAUCUCUAAACAUACUGUUUCAUCUCAUUGGAGUUAAUCAGAAAUGAAGCUGACUAAAGUUUACUGAGCACUUACUAUGUAUAUUGCAUGUCAAAAGUGGGAGGGGCUUAGGCUCAGCCUCCAGGAACACUGUCAGUCAUGGAGGAAAGGAGUGUGAAGAGCCCGAGCGAGCAAACUGCUGAAUUAUGGAUCUGUGAUUUCCCCUACUUUGUAUUCAAUUCAUACUUUUAAUUCACAUACAGUGAUCGCAUAGCUGUGUUGCUGAGAGGUCUGCCUCUUCCCCCACCUCCACCCCCUGCGUGUUGUAGUAGCGGGGCUUGAAACCAUGGU